UCCCUGGUGGCUCAGAUGGUAAAGAAUCUGCCUGCAAUGUAGGAGACCCAGGUUCAAUCCCUGGGUUGGGAG
rnacentral:tRNA from 1 species